AGCCUGGAGUCAAGAAAAUCUGAGUUCAAAUUCAGCCUCAUAUGCUUAACUCUGGGUUGC
rnacentral:pre_miRNA from 1 species